rnacentral:rRNA from 1 species
UACGUAGGGUGCGAGCGUUGUCCGGAAUUACUGGGCGUAAAGAGCUCGUAGGUGGUUUGUCGCGUUGUUCGUGAAAACUCACAGCUCAACUGUGGGCGUGCGGGCGAUACGGGCAGACUGGAGUACUGCAGGGGAGACUGGAAUUCCUGGUGUAGCGGUGAAAUGCGUAGAUAUCAGAAGGAACAUCAGUGGCGAAAGCGGCUUCCUGGUCCAGUACCGACGUUCAGGCACGAAAGCGUGGGGAGCAAACAGG